AUAUAACAGUUGUAAAGCAUAAAUUGAGCAGUAAAUGGGGGAACGAGGUUGUAAUACUCAAAACGACCAGACGGGUCGUUACAGCCUCAUUAGGAAACAUGACUGUCAAUAGCAAAAUGACCAGUUUGUGAGUGAUUUCAGCCUAAGUUUCAGCUAAGUAGCCAAUCAAAGAGCAACAGGUAACAACGGAGAAAUAUAGGUAAUCGGAUUUUGGCAAACAAACAAAGUCAUGAAGAAAAUCAAACAAAUAUUACAGCAAUGAUUCAAAUUUUAUUAUAAAACAACAACAAAUCAACAUUUUUUGAAGAAUCGGAGACUUGAAUUCAUGAUUCAGUAUUUGUGUGCAGAAAACAGCUUAGAAAAUGCCAAAUAAAUGCUGAGUGAAAGAAAUUUGAAGCUCCGCAAACAGCUCCAGUAACAAUCAGCAGUGAACAACACUUUCAGGCACAAAAUAUUCUUCAAAAUCCCAGAAGAUAUGAUGUAACGAUCAAAAAUAGAAAGCAACUUUUGAAUCUCUUUUUUGGGGGUGGUUUUUGUUUAAUUUUCUGGAGUUUUGUUCUUCAGAUUUGAAAAUUUGUUCUCAAAUUUCAGACCUCUUUCCAAACAUGAGAGAGAGAGAGAGAGAGAGUGAGCCUGUGAAUGCUUGUGAGUGUAGAAUGUGUAUCUGAGAUAUGCAAAAAUGAGAGAAUUUAUAGAAAAUAUCAGACCUCAAUUUGGGAAAAAAAACAUCUUUUGUAAUAGAGUUUUUAUAGUUGUACCUUCUGUUAUUUCUCUUUCCUUAUUAGUCCUUUUCUUUUCUGUAUUUACUCCUUUCAUCCCCAAAUCCCACGACCUUCCUCUUUUCUUUACCAUUUUAUUGCUAUUUGAUCACUUUCCACACUCUUGUAGAACUUUCCAGUCAGUUAUAUGAAAUAUGCUCUCAAUUUAAUCUCCUAAAUGCCCUUUUAAACUCUAGCUAUUUACCUAAGGACCUAAUUUCAUAGACCUGGGGUCAUGUGACCUUAGAUCAAAGGCCCAUAGACUUCAAUUGAACUCCCAUUCCCUAUUACCCCAACUUCAAUUUAAUGGGCCUAACCAAAUCAAACAAAAUUAGGCCCAUACCUAAACUAAAAUAAAGCGGACAGACUGAACCAAUACUCAUAUUAAUGAAAUCAGCAAACAUUAAUUAAUAAUCAAAUAAAUUCUAAGACCUAAUUCGAACAUGUAAUCAACUUCAAUCUAAAUAGGCAAUAUCAGAUUCAUGAGCUAAUCAAGCAAUCAAUCAUCAUUUUAAAUUAAUUGAUAGUUAACAACAAAUCAUUAUCUAUUAUUUACCUAAACAUUUUGAGGAAAAAGGAAUUACCUCUUGAACGAAUCCUAGCCGAAGCACAAAUUCCGGCCGGCAAUGGUCAGUGCCCCGUGGCCACAGGUUUGAGCUUAGAAGCUCAUCCUGUGAUGCAUGGAACACUGUCCAUCGCAAGUCGGAAGAAGACGGUGAAGCUGAGUGGUGAUUGGGGUGGUCAACAGUUCUUGACCGUUCACCGAUGAUCGCGAACUAUCAUAAAACUGCCAUGAAAUGACAGUACUCAAUACGAUGAGUAGAUUGGUGUAAGUUUUGAUAUCAAAAUGAGCAAAUAUUGGAAAGAAAUUUAUAGAGGGAUGGAUUAGAGUUUUCUGAGGAUGCCCAGAUCUGAAAUCCGCAGAGUUUUGGUUGUUUACUUGGGAAAUUGAUUGGAGAUUAGGAAUGAGGAGGGCGUGGAGAUUUUGUGGUUAAUAUUUGAGGGCAUUUGGUGGUGGGCCUCCGCCGUGGGACGAUUUCUGGCUGCGGCGAGGCGGAGGGUGAGAGAUGAUGAGGGAGAGGGUUUGAGAAUGUGUUUGGGGGGUAUGGGGUUCGAUCUCUCAAACAGUUAUAUGUGAUAUGGGUGCUUAGUUCCCAUCUGUUGGAUAAGAUGAGAUGAAUGGCCAGGAUUGACUGUGACAAAA
rnacentral:lncRNA from 1 species